rnacentral:rRNA from 1 species
UACGAAGGGGGCUAGCGUUGCUCGGAAUCAUUGGGCGUAAAGCGCACGUAGGCGGAUUGCUAAGUCAGAUGUGAAAUCCCUGGGCUUAACCUAGGAAUGGCAUAUGAAACUGGUUAGCUAGAGGACGGGAGAGGGAAGUGGAAUUUCCGGUGUAGCGGUGAAAUGCGUAGAUAUCGGAAGGAACACCAGUGGCGAAGGCGACUUCCUGGCCCGUAACUGACACUGAGGCGCGAAAGCGUGGGGAGCGAACAGG